GACGAACGCUGGCGGCGUGCCUAAUACAUGCAAGUAGGACGCAGUUGCGAACGGGUGAGUAACGCGUAGGUAACUACCUAUUAGAGGGGGAUAACUAUUGGAAACGAUAGCUAAUACCGCAUACUAGUAGAUGGAACUGCGUUGUAUUAGCUAGUAGGUAGGGUAAUGGCCUACCUAGGCAAAGAUACAUAGCCGAGCUGAGAGGGUGUACGGCAAACAUGGUACUGAGACACUGCCCAGAAUCCUACGGGAGGCAGCAGGAGGGAAUCUUCGGCAAUGGGGGGAACCCUGACCGAGCAACGCCGCGAGAGAGAAGAAGGUUUUCGGAUCGUAAAGCGCUGUUGUUAAGGAAGCGGUACUUAACCAGAAAGGGACGGCUAACUACGUGCCAGCAGCCGCGGUAAUAC
rnacentral:rRNA from 1 species